rnacentral:rRNA from 1 species
UUUCCAGUGUAGCGGUGAAAUGCGUAGAGAUUGGAAGGAACAUCAGUGGCGAAGGCGGCCACCUGGACAGAUACUGACGCUGAGGUUCGAAAGCGUGGGGAGCGAACAGGAUAAGAUACCCUGGUAGUCCACGCCGUAAACGAUGUCAAUUAGCCGUUUGUGGUUUUAAACCGUGAGUGGCGUAGCUAACGCGCUAAGUUGACCGCCUGGGGAGUACGGCCGCAAGGUUAAAACUCAAAUGAAUUGACGGGGGCCCGCACAAGCGGUGGAGCAUGUGGUUUAAUUCGAUGCAACGCGAAGAACCUUACCAUCCCUUGACAUCCAGAGAAGUUACUAGAGAUAGUUUCGUGCCUUCGGGAACUCUGAGACAGGUGCUGCAUGGCUGUCGUCAGCUCGUGUUGUGAAAUGUUGGGUUAAGUCCCGCAACGAGCGCAACCCUUAUCCUUAUUUGCCAGCGAGUAAUGUCGGGAACUUUAAGGAGACUGCCGGUGAUAAACCGGAGGAAGGUGGGGACGACGUCAAGUCAUCAUGGCCCUUACGGGAUGGGCUACACACGUGCUACAAUGGCGUAUACAAAGGGCUGCAAGACCGCGAGGUGGAGCGAAUCCCAUAAAGUACGUCGUAGUCCGGAUUGGAGUCUGCAACUCGACUCCAUGAAGUCGGAAUCGCUAGUAAUCGUAGAUCAGAAUGCUACGGUGAAUACGUUCCCGGGCCUUGUACACACCGCCC